CUCCUCGACUCCAGCUUCUCCAGCAUCGGCGAAAUUCUGCACCAAAAGAAUUUGCACUAGAGGAAGGGUCUGUGUCUUCGCAGUACCCUUGUUCUUAAAGGAGUACUCAACGGAACUGUCUUCGAUCAUCUUCUUUGAUACUUUAUCCUUCUUCUCCUGCCAUAUCUCCACCUGAUGCCUCCCCGAAAGGCAUCCACCAGGCGAUCCACGGCCUCCGCGGCC
rnacentral:lncRNA from 1 species